rnacentral:tRNA from 1 species
AGCUCAGUUGGUAGAGCGUCUGCCUUACAAGCAGAAUGUCGGCGCGCGGGUUCGAGCCCCGUCCGCUGCGCCA